UGUAUGGGGAUCUGCCCGAUAGAGGGGGAUAACUACUGGAAACGGUGGCUAAUACCGCAUAAUGUCUACGGACCAAAGCAGGGGCUCUUCGGACCUUGCACUAUCGGAUGAACCCAUAUGGGAUUAGCUAGUAGGUGGGGUGAAGGCUCACCUAGGCGACGAUCUCUAGCUGGUCUGAGAGGAUGAUCAGCCACACUGGGACUGAGACACGGCCCAG
rnacentral:rRNA from 1 species